rfam:Triticum aestivum genome assembly, contig: Triticum_aestivum_CS42_TGACv1_scaffold_593731_7BS
AUUCUACUCCCUCCAUUGCACAAUACGUGUCUUCUAUUUUUUAAAAUAUAUAUGGAACUAGACAUGUUUUAGUAUAUAGGCACAUCCAUUUUUGGACAAAUGGAAGUCAAGUAUUUUGGAACGGAGGGAGUACACA